rnacentral:rRNA from 1 species
UGGGGAAUUUUGGACAAUGGGCGAAAGCCUGAUCCAGCAAUGCCGCGUGUGUGAAGAAGGCCUUCGGGUUGUAAAGCACUUUUGUCCGGAAAGAAAUCCUUGGCUCUAAUACAGUCGGGGGAUGACGGUACCGGAAGAAUAAGCACCGGCUAACUACGUGCCAGCAGCCGCGGUAAUACGUAGGGUGCAAGCGUUAAUCGGAAUUACUGGGCGUAAAGCGUGCGCAGGCGGUUUGCUAAGACCGAUGUGAAAUCCCCGGGCUCAACCUGGGAACUGCAUUGGUGACUGGCAGGCUAGAGUAUGGCAGAGGGGGGUAGAAUUCCACGUGUAGCAGUGAAAUGCGUAGAGAUGUGGAGGAAUACCGAUGGCGAAGGCAGCCCCCUGGGCCAAUACUGACGCUCAUGCACGAAAGCAUGGGGAGCAAACAGGAUUAGAUACCCUGGUAGUCCACGCCCUAAACGAUGUCAACUAGUUGUUGGGGAUUCAUUUCCUUAGUAACGUAGCUAACGCGUGAAGUUGACCGCCUGGGGAGUAC